GGAAGUCGGAGGCGGGGAAGCGGUCACUGGCAGCGAGCGCAGGCAGCUGGCAGGGCGCAAAGUUGAGAGCAGUCCCUAGUCUAAGCCUUUCUGUCGCCCUCCAGCACCGCCAGGACCACGGACUCCGCCCUGCCGCGGCCGCUCAGCGGCGGUGCAGCGGCCACUUGACCAGGCCUAAUGUAUGACCUUUCCCAGAGAACGUUCCACAUGUACUUUGAAGAAUGUGUAUUCUGCUCUUGGGUGAACUCAUCUGUGUGUGUCUGAUUGUCCAAGCUUCCACCGGAGCGACACCAUCUCCUGUCUUGGCACUUCAUGAGUCGAAUGCUGCUUCCCGAGAGGAUCUGGUUGGUAGGCCGUGACCUUGAUUCCUGCCCCUGAGCCUCACUUUUUUCUUAUCAGCCACCACCUUUUGGGCACUAGGACAGUGCUUUUUAUAAUGCACUCAUCAGUGGAUGCUGAAAUAACAACCUGGCCAUUUGGAUGUGCAACUAACGCUUUAUGCUGCAGAGUCCCUGCAACUCACCAACCCGUGCCGGAACUCACCGGAGCUCAGGCUGACGGCACAGGUAGAAGUGGAGAGAGUAUUUAUGCAGCAAGACAUCCAGCCCUGGCUUCAGAUGCUCCACUCCAGCCCUCUGAGAAUACAAUGGAAACUGAGGCAGAAUCGAUGAUCCACUGCUGAACAUGCCCAGUGGUCAUGCCUGGCAGGAUCAAGUCUAAAGCUGCUAUUUGUACUCUGGCUGGAGUGCAGUGGUGCAAUCUCGACUCAUUGCAACCUCCACGUUCCAGAUUCAAGCAAUUCACCUGCCUCAGCAGGUUGUAGAACUUAAUAGAAUAGUAUUUAGAUUGUAUUACUCUAAAUGAAAUCUACCAUGGAAUUUAAACUGUACCAGUGAAUGCUGAUAUAUAAAAAGAUU